AAAAAGGGAAAAAAGGAGGAAAACUAUUUAUGGUCUUUCCAAAGCAGAUAUUUUCCAAAAAGCAAUGUAAAACCUGUGCAGAGAAGCAAGCCUGUUUUGCCUGGACUGGUUUGAAGAAGGGUCCCAGCUCUGGCACCCAUCAGCACAGGAGUUGGCCUCUUCAUCUCUGUAAUGCCACACAUGAAGUCACAUGGAAAAGGUUCACACGGGAUGUCUUUGAAGUGUAGCCCUUGGACUUCACAUGGACCAGCUUUCCAAAGUGAGAAAUACAAAUUAUGUCUGUUUAUUGUCUCCAUGAAAAAAAAUCAGUGCUUUGUUUAAAGUCUGUUCUGAGGUGAGCACAUGCUUGUCUCUGUGGUCACUGACAUUUUUUCAAUAAUGUGAAAACAAUGGUUAAAAUGGUGAAAUCCUAUUCUUUAUAUGAUUUGAUUCUUGUAUUAUUUGAAGCUUGCAGGAUGCAUUUUUGUCAUUUUUGGU